UACGUAGGGUGCGAGCGUUAAUCGGAAUUACUGGGCGUAAAGCGUGCGCAGGCGGUUGUGCAAGACAGAUGUGAAAUCCCCGGGCUUAACCUGGGAAUUGCAUUUGUGACUGCACGGCUAGAGUGUGUCAGAGGGGGGUGGAAUUCCAUGUGUAGCAGUGAAAUGCGUAGAUAUGUGGAGGAAUACCGAUGGCGAAGGCAGCCCCCUGGGACAACACUGACGCUCAUGCACGAAAGCGUGGGGAGCAAACAGG
rnacentral:rRNA from 1 species